GUAUGUAUGGGUGUGUCCGUGUAUGUGUGUGUAUGUAGGUGUGUGGGCGUGUGUAUAUGUGUGUGUAUGUAGGUGUGUGGGCGUGUGUAUAUAGGUGUAUGUGUGUAUGUCUGGGUGUGUCCGUGCAUGUUUGUGUGUGUGUGUAUGCAUGUGUAUGUAGGUGUGUGUGUACGUGUGUAAUGUAUGUGUGUAUGCGUGUGUAUGCGUGCGUGUGUGUAUGUAGGUGCUUGUGUAUGUGUGUGGGAGUGUAGGUGUGUGUGUGCGUGUGCGUGUUUAUGUUGGUGUGUGCGUAUGUGAGUGUGAGUGUAUGGGUGUUUGUCAUGCAUGUGUGUGCGCGUGCAGGUAUGUGUGUGUGUAUGUUGUGUGUGAGUGUGUAUGUGUGUAUGUCUGUGUGUAUGUAUGUGCGUAUAGGAGUAUGUAGGUAUGUGUGUGUGUGUGUAUGUGGGUGUAUAUGUAUGUGUGUGUGCGUAUGUGUGUGUAUGUGUAUGUGUGUGUGUUUAUGUAUGUGUGCAUGUAUGUGUGUAGGCGUGUGUGUGUAGAUGUAUGUAUGUAUGGGUGUGUGUCUGUGUGUGUUUGUGUGUGUGUGUAGGUAGAUGUGUGUGUGUGUAUGUAUGUAAGUGUGUGUGUAUACAAGUGUAAUGUAUGUAUGUAGGUGUGUGUGUGUGUAUGUGUACGUGUGCGUGUGUAUGUGUGUGUAUGCGUGUGAGUGUGAGUGUAUGGGUGUAUGUCUGUGUGUGUGUAUGUCUGAAGUAGGUAUGUGUGUGUGUGUGUGUGUGUAUGUGUGUGUGUGUGUGUGUGUGUAUGUGUGUGUGUGUAUGUGUGUGUGUGAGUAGGUGUGCGUGUAUGUAUGUGGGUAGGGAUGCAUGCGAGUGUGUGGGUAUAUGCAUACACACACACACAUAUAUAUAUAUAUAUAUAUAUAUAUAUAUAUAUAUAUAUACAUAUACAUACAUACGUGUGAGUGUCUGUGUUUCUGUUUCUAUCUCCUCCAUCCUCGGUGUUGUCAGUUCGGCAACAGAGACCGACAGAAUGAGUACUUUACUUAAAAAAUAUAUAUGCAGUGGGGGGGGGGGGGUGCAAUUAUUAAGCCUAAACCUUUGAAAGUGGUACCCGAGUAAUGCCACAAGUCCUAUGCUUGAAACAAAUAAAAAGAUCUAGGAUAUUCUGUACUUCCAUAAAUGUACACGAUUGGGAAUUAAUUUCGUCCCAGUUGUGAUUAAUAUGACACACAGUCAUACACACACACACACAUACACACACACACACACACGCACGCACACACGCACCCACCCACACACACAUAUAAACAAGAGGGUUCUUUCAGUUUCUUAUUUGUUUACUGCCUACAACGGGCUAAGCAGAGAGAGGACAAACAAGGACAGACAAAGGGAUUAAGUCGAUUACAUCAACCCCAGUGCGUAACUGGUCCUUAUUUAAUCGACCCCGAAAGGAUGAAAGGGAAAGUCGACCUCGGCGGAAUUUGAACUCAGAACAUAGCGGCAGACGAAAUACCGCUAAGCAUUUCGCCCGGCAUGCUAAUGUUUCUGCCAGAUCGCCGCCUUCUUUCAGUUUCUGUCAUCCAAAUCCUCUUACAAGGCUCUGGUCGACCCGAGGCUGUUGUAGCAGGCAUUCGCCCGGGGUGUCACACAAUUGGACUGAACCUGAAACCAUGUGGUUGGGAAGUGAGCUUCUUACCUCACAGGCACGUCUAUUCGAGGUUUUGGAGUUGCAAGUUCGUUCAUCAAAGUAGUAUCUUGCAUUUGCUUCUUUUAUUUACCAGAAACCACAUUUGAAUCCAAGAUUUGUAAGAAAUUGGGCAGAUUGACACUGUAGAACAAGUGGUUCUGAACCAGGGUCCAUACGACCCCUUAAAUUGGGGAUCCACAGUGGUAUUUUAAGUGUCUAUGCUUUGAUUUAAAUAUGUCUAUUUCAAGAAACAGCUAAGUUUCUUUCUUUAACGUUCUACAUAGUUCAACCCACUCAAGUUGAUAUCUGCAUAUCGAAAUAGGAAUUUUGAAAAGUAUUUAUAAAACUUGUUUUUAAACAUCGAAUGGCUAUGGGCUAUAGAGUUUCACCAAAAUCAAAGCGCUCUAUAAUGAAUAAUGGUUGAGAACCAUUGCUGUAGAAGGUCGUUGGAAGAAACUCUUUACUCUUUUACUCUUUUACUUGUUUCAGUCAUUUGACUGCGGCCAUGCUGAAGCACUGCCUUUAGUCGAACAAAUCGACCCCAGAAUUUAUUCUUUGUAAGCCUAGUACUCAUUCUAUCGGUCUCUUUUGCCGAACGGCUGAGGGACGUAAACACACCAGCAUCGGUUGUCAAGCGAUGUUGGGUGGGGGGCAAACACACACACACACACACACACACACACACACACACACACACAUAUAUAUAUAUAUAUAUAUAUAUAUAUAUAAUUUUAAUCCAAACGGGAAACAAAAAAACAACAACAAGGGAACAAUUACAGUAUUAUUAUUAAUAGGCGCUCAGGAAAUGGAAGCAGGGAGGUAUGACGUUUCGAGCGGAGCUCUUCGUCGGAAACAUAAAGAAGGAAGAGAGAGGAAAGAAAGAUCCCGGAGCGGGCAACGGAGAUAGAGAAAAAAACGGCUGGUGUUAGGAGUAGCACAUGGUGAAAGGCGGAUGUUUACGAUAACAAGAGCAAAGUGGGUUUUUAAAGGCAAAAGAGUGGAGACAAGGUUGGUAACGCAACAGAUGUGUGUGUAUGUGUGAGUGUGUGCGUGUGCGUGUGUGUAUGUGUGUGUGUGAGGCGAGGUAAAAAAACAAAAAAUAUGUAUGUGUUAGUGUGUGCGUCUGUGUGUAGGCGUGUGAGGUAGGGCGAGACGGUGGUCAGCAUAGCAGCAGCAUAGCAGACAAAGGUCAGUAGUGAGAAAAGGGAGGAAGGAGGAAGGGAGGGAGGGGAAGGGGUGGGGGCGUAUGUAGCGUGCCAGCGUGUGUUGAGUAGUAGUGUGUGUGUGUGUCCAGUGUCGUGGUAGUAUUAGUGGCGAGUAGAUUGAAUGUGUGUAAGAGUGAUGUAUAUGUUUAAGCAAUGUGUGUAUAUGUGUGCGCGUGUGUGUAACGAAAAAAAAGGGGGGGGGGGGUAGGAAAAGGACUCCAGCGGAGGGGAAGAUGGAAGAGUGGUCCCGCGGAGACGGGCGUGGGAAAACCCAACGACAAGCGACAUCCCAGGAACGGGCGGGAGGUCUCGUCGGGUCCAAGGGCGAGGUGCAUGCGGGGCGCAUGCGUGCGCGAACCGGCGCAAACGCGUGUGUGCGCGAGCCUGCGAGUGUGCGCGUACGUAUGUGUGCGUGUGGAUGUGUGAGUGUGUCUGUGUGUAUGUCUGGGUGGCAGUGUGUCCGAUGAAUGUAUGUGAGUAUGUGUGUAUAUAUGUGUGUGCAUAGAUGUAUGUCCGUGUGUGUGUGUGUGUGUGUGUAUGUGUGUAUGAGUGUGUAUGUAUGUACGUGUGGGUGUGGGGAAGUGUGUGUAUGUGCAUGUGUGUGCGCGAACAUACAGGUGUGUGAGUGAGUGCGUGUGUGUGUAUGUAUGUGUGAGUGUGUAUGUAUGUGUGUGUAGGAUGCAUGUAUGUAUAUGGGUGUAUGUAUGCGUGUGUGUAUGUAUGUAUGUGUACGUGCGUGUGUGUGUGUGUAUGCGUGUAGGUGUGCGCGUGUGCAUGCGUGCAUGUAUGUGCGUAUGUGUGUGUGUGUGCAUGUGUGUGGGUAUAUAUGCGUGUGCGUAUAUGUGUGUGUAUGUGCGUACAUGUGUGUGUGUGUGCAUGUGUGUGUGUAGGUGUGUAGGCGUGUGUGUAUAGGUGUAUGUAUGUAAGUAUGUAUGGGUGUGUCCGUGUAUGUGUGUAUGUAUGUGUGUUUAUGUAGCUGUGUGGGCGUGUGUAUAUGUGUGUGUAUGUAGGUGUGUAGGCGUGUGUAUAUAGGUGUAUGUAUGUAUGUCUGGGUGUGUCCGUGCAUGUUUGUGUGUGUGUGUGUAUGCAUGUGUAUGUAGGUGUGUGUGUACGUGUGUAAUGUAUGUGUGUAUGCGUGUGUAUGCGUGCGUGUGUGUAUGUAGGUGCGUGUGUAUGUGUGUGGGAGUGUAGGUGUGUGUGUGCGUGUGCGUGU
rnacentral:lncRNA from 1 species